UACUCCUACGGGAGGCAGCAGUAGGGAAUCUUCGGCAAUGGGGGCAACCCUGACCGAGCAACGCCGCGUGAGUGAAGAAGGUUUUCGGAUCGUAAAACUCUGUUGUUAGAGAAGAACGGUAAUUAGAGUCCAGCAGCCUUACGAGACGUACCUCCGCAGAUAGGUGGGC
rnacentral:rRNA from 1 species